ACAUCACACGCAAGUUUGGCGCUGAUUUUUUCUUUGGUUAUCUAGCUGUAUGAGUGAAAUGAGCGUCAUAAAGCUAGGUUACCGAAGUUAAGAACAGCACCUCUUCAUCAAAAGGCGCGC
rnacentral:precursor_RNA from 12 species